rnacentral:rRNA from 1 species
AGUGAACGCUGGCGGUAGGCCUAACACAUGCAAGUCGAACGGCAGCACAGUAAGAGCUUGCUCUUACGGGUGGCGAGUGGCGGACGGGUGAGGAAUACAUCGGAAUCUACUUUUUCGUGGGGGAUAACGUAGGGAAACUUACGCUAAUACCGCAUACGACCUACGGGUGAAAGCAGGGGAUCUUCGGACCUUGCGCGAUUGAAUGAGCCGAUGUCGGAUUAGCUAGUUUGCGGGGUAAAGGCCCACCAAGGCGACGAUCAGUAGCUGGUCUGAGAGGAUGAUCAGCCACACUGGAACUGAGACACGGUCCAGACUCCUACGGGAGGCAGCAGUGGGGAAUAUUGGACAAUGGGCGCAAGCCUGAUCCAGCCAUACCGCGUGGGUGAAGAAGGCCUUCGGGUUGUAAAGCCCUUUUGUUGGGAAAGAAAAGCAGCAGGUUAAUACCCCGCUGUUCUGACGGUACCCAAAGAAUAAGCACCGGCUAACUUCGUG